UACGUAGGGUGCAAGCGUUGUCCGGAAUUAUUGGGCGUAAAGAGCUCGUAGGCGGUUUGUCGCGUCGAAUGUGAAAACCCGGGGCUCAACCCCGGGCCUGCAUUCGAUACGGGCAGACUAGAGUUCGGUAGGGGAGUCUGGAAUUCCUGGUGUAGCGGUGAAAUGCGCAGAUAUCAGGAGGAACACCGGUGGCGAAGGCGGGACUCUGGGCCGUUACUGACGCUGAGGAGCGAAAGCGUGGGGAGCAAACAGG
rnacentral:rRNA from 1 species